CCUACGGGUGUCAGCAGUGGGGAAUAUUGCGCAAUGGGCGCAAGCCUGACGCAGCGACGCCGCGUGAGGGAUGAAGGUCUUCGGAUCGUAAACCUCUGUCAGCAGGGAAGAACGCUCUCUGUGCUACUCAGCAGUGAAUUGACGUUACCUGCAAAGGAAGCACCGGCUAACUCCGUGCCAGCAACCGCGGUAAUACGAAGGGUGCGCGCGUUAAUCGGAAGUACUGGGCGUAAAGGGCUCGUAGGCGGUCGGUUAAGUAACGGGGGCAAUCCCCGCGCUCAACGUGGGAACUGCAGUUGAAACGGGGAAACUGGAGUGUGGGAGAGGAUAGUGGAAUUCCAGGUGUAGGAGUGAAAUCCGUAGAUAUCGGGAGGAACAGCAGUGGAGAAGGCGACUAGCUGGAACAUAACUGACGCUGAGGAGCGAAAGCGUGGGUAGCAAACAGGAUUAGAGACCCCAGUAGUC
rnacentral:rRNA from 1 species